rnacentral:rRNA from 1 species
GAUGAACGCUGGCGGCGUGCUUAACACAUGCAAGUCGAGCGGGCAAUUUAUCUAGCACUGAUUACUUCAAAUGGAAAUCAUAAGUGUAAUCAUGAAUUUCUACCUUUAAUAAAGAAAAAGAAAUUCAUGUACGCAAAUAGUGAUAACACAUUUUAGUGGAGUGAUGAGUGCUGGAUAAAUUGCUAGCGGCGGACGGGUGCGUAACACGUGGGUAACCUGCCCCUAUCACUGGGAUAACACACUGAAAAGUGUGCUAAUACCAGAUAACAUAAGCUUUUGGCAUCAUUAGCUUAUCAAAGAAUUUCGGAUAGGGAUGGGCCCGCGUCUGAUUAGCUAGUUGGUGAGGUAACGGCUCACCAAGGCAACGAUCAGUAGCCGACCUGAGAGGGUGAUCGGCCACACUGGAACUGAGACACGGUCCAGACUCCUACGGGAGGCAGCAGUGGGGAAUAUUGGUCAAUGGACGAGAGUCUGAA